AUGCUUAUGGACUCAACACUGACAUUGUCUCAGAAGGACUAGCAAAGAAAAAAUCAAAUUAUUCUUGUGGCUAACGGGAAUAAUGCAGGAAAUAUUGCCAAAUACAAUCAGAGCCAUCUUAUUUUGGUAAUUUCCUUAGCUUCAAAUUUUCCUUUGUUUAAUUAUGAAAUUAAAUUCAAGGUAGUUUAAAUCUACAUUUUGCAAAGAUUUUUGUACACAGAUACUUUAAAAUCUUUAAGUUUUGUUUUCUUCUCUUGUUCGUUUGUUUCUCUCAACUUUGUCAGUAGGCUGGCUCCCAUUCCCUGUCUUCACUGUUAGAGGAAGCUAUGAAAAUGGUACGGUGCUUUGGAUGGCAUACUAGACUUUUACAUUAGACUAUAGAAGAAUGUCCAAUGCCACUGUAUGCCAAUUUCACCAUAGGACCUGGAUGAAGAUAACUUGUACAGAAUUAACCAAGGCUCUGAUGAUAACUAUUGAAUAUUCAAGCUUAAAAAUAAUAUUGAGGAAUCACGGUCCAUCAGUUUCAGAGGAUCAGAUUAGAUCUGAAUUUGUUCUUCAGCUGGGCACAGCAACCUGGAGAGAUCUCAUGCUUACCGAAGGUCACUGAUGCUUGAAGAUCUCUUCAAACAAGAACAAAGUUAUUCAUCUGUAGGUCUGCUAUUGCCUCUGGAUCCAACCCUAGAGAGCAGGGCUAGGUACGGGCAAGGGGUCUUGGCCUGCCCGUCAGCAAGUGGCAGCAGGGGACACUUCUUGUACUUCUGCAGUCUGCUGUUCAAAGAAAGGUUUUGUUUUCAUAGCCUGUGCUGCCAUGUGUAUCACAGUUAAGGCUCUUCCCCUAACCGUGACCUGUAAGCAUUUUUGUACUACUGAAAAGUAGCUCUUAAAAUAUAUUCUUGAGUACUAAUUGGUGUUUCCACUAAAUUUGCCUUUCUCCAGUAUGUACAUGUUAUAUAGCAAAGUCAAAGUGUGCUUGUGGGGUAGACUUGACUUAUGACUAGAUGUUUAUUUCUGUUUUAAUGAUUGUGGUAACAGUUUUGAGGUGAUUUUUAUUUUAAUUUUUUAAAAUUUUUUAAUUUUAUUUUUAUAAACCUUUGGCAAGCCUUUAAGGCAAAGUACUUUGUACUCAGUCUUUAUUUAUGCUGCGUAUAUGUUGACUCAGACAGGUGCUUUUAUAUGGCAGGUUUCUUUCUGGUAGUGCAAUUGAUAUGGCGAAUAAAUAAAUUCUCACAUAAAAUUCACUAGGAGCAAUUGAUAUGUCAUGGAACAAUGAACUGAAGGUUGGGAAUUUUUCCUUGCUUGUAUUUCUCCCUCUAAUCCCAGUUUUAACAAUUCUUAUUCCCCCCCUCCAAAGACUGCACUUCAUUUCAAUCUGUGUGUGUGCUCAAGCUGGGGUUGAAUGACCCUAACAAAGCAAAGAGGGAAGAAAAGCCAGGAAGUGGCAACCCCUGUAAGCCUGAAGGGCCUGGUGUUUUUUACUGCCCCAGGUGGAAUCCUGGCAUAAAUAAAAAUCCCGUACUGUGUGCACCCUGUCUGCAGCCUUUUUGCAGAAUUUAUUGCGAAGCAAACCCUAGGAGGGUGCACUAAUGAAGUAGCAUUUGCUGCUACUAAAUUUAGUAAAAAAUCAACAAUCUCUGCAUUGCAUCAGUGAAUUAAAGACAGAAUACUCAAGAGAAAUAUGAACUGCUCCUGUAAGUGAGAGCAUAUGGCAUGUAUAUUGGUUUAAUAUAUGUAAAAUGUUAUAAGUAAAUAUAAUGCGGAAUUGUCAGUUUGGGAGACAAAUAGAUGGUCUCAGUUACCUGAGAUUAUACGUACCUGCCCAAGGAGACUGACACACACUUGCUCAAAGACACUGUAGAAGACCAUAAUGGUGAGGAAGCCAUAGCUCCCUUCCACAAACAGGAAAAUAAACAGAAGGGAAACAGAAUCUUGGAGACCCUAAUAUGGGCAAUGUCAACGAAUGGUUGUAAACCUCAGAAUUUAUUGCUUCAUAUAUGAAAAUAGAAACUUUUUUAUAAUGCGAUAAAAACAAAACAAACAAAA